ensembl:lncRNA
GUGCUCUCAGGAGAGGGUUGUUAUAGCUCGUAUACUGACAUUAUAAAGGACCUGCCAGGACACAGAGAAUUCCGAUGUGGAAAAUGGCAGAAGGCUCUGUGAGCACCCAGGAGGAAGAGUGCCCUAAAGAGUGCCCUACUGUUUAGGGUGGGAGAAGAGGACCCUAUUUCACUUUCUUGCCGCUAGCCUGGGCUGUUGAACCAGGAGGGAUGUGAUCCCCUGAAGUCCAUUCUCCCCGCACAGCCUAUUGCCAGUAACUCACUAUGGGCAGCUGUCAAGAUCAGCAGUGGAGGUUCUUGAGAAAAGUCAUGGCUUCAGCUACUGGCACCAACAAGGUGAAAGAGAUCGCCACCUGCUCCAUCUGCCUGAACCUCAUUAUGCACCCAGUAAGCAUCACCUGUGGACACAGCAACAGUCAGUGUGGUUUGAAGCUGCACCUCUGCCAGAUGUCCCAAAAGCAGGGUCAAAAGAGAUUUCCCCGUCCUGAAUGUCGGGAGCCUUUUCAUAAAGAUAGGCUGUGUUCCAACAGGCUACUGGGAACUCUCACUGAAGUUAUACAGGAAAUGGAGGAGACAGAGGAUGAGCUGCUGUGAGGCCCAUGGACAGCAGCUCCAGCUCUUCUGUAAAGAUGACAACCAGCUCAUCAGCUGGCACUGUGAGCGGGGACCACAGCACCAAGGCAUGCCCUGGUGCUGGUAGAGGAUGUGUGCCAGGGGUACAAGGUGAGUAUACAUCCGGGCCUCAGCAGGGACCCACCCUGUGCUGCUUGCAAGACCUGAGCUUAUUGGUCCCAAAGCUAAAAAUGAUGACCCUGAAGCACAGAGAUGGUAUUCUUUUGAAAAAUACCUUGUGAUGGGUCUUUGCUGAAUCCAUAUCUAAGUGUCCCCCUGACAUUUAGCAGGAUGCUCAAACUCCUGUCCCUAUUCUGUGUGUCAUCAUGGACUUCUCCCUGCUCUGGGACAUGCCAACCAAACACCUACCUGGGUUCUGCUUCACACUGUGUGUACUGGAAGGGGAGGAGAUUCUAGAGUUCAGAGUCUUAAUACUUCAGGAAAGUGACUUCCUGGAGCACCUGGCUUUGGUGCUGAGAGAGGAGUGGUUCAUCCCAGAGGUGGCUCCUGAGACACCUCUACUUAGCCCCUGCAGGGUGCCCAGGCACAAGGAUCUGCACAUGCAAAGGCACAGGCAUGGGGUUUCUGAUUCACCUUGGCCAGGUUAUGGGCUGUGUGCAGAGGACAGGCAGCUGGGAACAAGGGAAAGGAAGACAGGCCACAGCAUCUGAGUGGCAGCUCCCAGUCUCAAUCCUAGACCGUAGUAUAUGUAACCUGCCACAGGGGCAUUUCUACAUGCAGAGUAAAGAUUCACUACCAUUGAAAAAAUUAUCCAUGCAGUCUGAAAAUACAAGGAAUAUCCAGUUAGAAUUCAAAUGAUCCCUUCAAGAAAGGAAGCCAGAGGGAAGUUUCAAACAACAUUCUAGAGGGGUGAUAGAUUUAGGAAGUGAUGGACGUUGAAGAUGAGUGGAGACAGUGGUUUUGAAAGCUCCUAGGUAUCCACCGAGAGCUUGCAGGGGACUGGCCUGUGCAGUGGUGAAGGAAGGAGCCAGUUCUGCUUCACUGGCUCUGAGCCCUGUUAGAGCUCAAAAGCAUGGCUGAGCUUGGGCUCCUGGUUCUCUCCUUUGUGAUAGAGAGCUGAGGUCCUAUGAAAGAUCCAAUGCCUUCCUAAGGUCACAUCAGUCCUGACCUCGACUCAGCACACAGUGCUUCCUUAGACUCUAUGGAGCUUCGAAUGCCUGUAACAGGGGUGCUCCUGUUUGAGUUUCUCUGCCACCCCCAGUGGGGACAGGAGCAACACAGGAUCAUGGUUGUCAGCCUCAGAGGCAGACAGCUGAGGUUGAAAUCUUAGCUCUUGUGUUACUAGAAGGACAGUUUGAGGUAAGUUAUUAAGUGUCUUCAGGGCUUGGUUUUCCCAAGGAAUAAAAGCAUUCCCCUCCCUCCCUAACACACAUGUCCAGGGAGUGCAUGAGUUGUAAGGAUAUUAUCACAUGUAGAGCUUAGAAUAACAUGUGGCUGGUAGCCAGAGCAAGGCAGUCUCCUAAAUCAGUUUGGUUGAUAGCUUUCCUGAGAGCGUGAGAGAAUUCAUGCAUGUCCUUGUGGGGCUUACAAAAGAAGAGCCAUUGCUUUUGACGAUGAAUAAUUGGUGUUCACCUCAACUUGCUUUCAAGGAAAGUUUGAGAGAUUGCUUUGAAAGAUUGGCUAAAAUUUAACAUGGGCACUAAGACGUUUUAAAUUGGAUUCAUGAUUCUGUCUUCACUGCACUCUGGAACUCUUCAAUGGGUGUUACCUGCUUCUAAUAACUUCAGUUGUCAUCCUGCUCUUUCCUUUCUGACUCACCCACAAUACUAACAAAGUUAGAGGUCUCAAACAUCAUGGAAGUGGUUAUUUUUGGUUCAGCACAUUAAUGUAUAAGAUUUUGUUUUGAUGAUGGUCGUAUCUGUUUGUAAUUUUCCCUUGGCCCUAGUGUGGUGGGGCACAUGGCAUAGCCCCUGGUCAGCAUGGGGCAUGAGAAUGGCAGCCCAUUUGCCUACCAGGUAUUCUCCCAUGGCAGUUAUUCAACCUCUUCAGAGGCUCCUUUUCCACAGUAGAAAGGAUAUUCAAAUCCUUACUAACUGUUCAGUGUUGGUGAGGGGAUCUGUACGUCACAGCCCCUGCAGCAUGCAAGAGUCUCUCGGGCAAACCUAAGAACUCAGUUAAUAUUCACAGUUAUUUUAGUACAUCUUGGAUGCUGGAAUUUCCAUUAGGUGUCCCAGAAGAAUCAAAUUGGGUAGACUUUAUUCACCCAAUUUUUCCUUCAGGAAAAUCUAGAACAAGCUCCCAGAAAGUUGAAUCAACUCAAGAGGAAUGCGUGAAUCAAAAAUGUUUAUAACAAUCCAGAUAAUGGAAGGAUAAGACAGAGAUUCAGAGACAGAAAAAUCAAGUCUGAAUUUAAGAAUCUCCACACUUUUCUGCACAGUGAGAGGGAUUCUUAUCUGUGGAGGCUGGAGAAAGAAGAGCAGAUGCUGAUGAGCCUGAGGGAGAAUGAGGCCAACUUGGAGUGGAAGAACCAUGAACUCAAGAGCCACCUCCUGGAACUAGAGGCAAAAUGUCAGAGCUCAGCCCAGAAACUGGCGCAGGACUUGUGCUGUGAAGCUGGAAGCACCUGAGGCCUUUUCCUUGGAGGUUCAGACUGUGUUUGGUGCUGCUGAACUUUACAGGAAUAUGAAGAUGAAGUUAAUGGGUUAUCAAGCGACCUCAUCAAAAGAGAAUAGGAAGGGGAAACUAUCUCCCUAACAGACUUUCUGGAUGACAGCAGAGGCAUUGAUAGAGGAAGAAGCACUUAUGGCCUCAAAUCAAUCAGCUGGGCUGAUGAAACAGAUGACUGGGAAGAGGAUGUUUCAGCCAGAUGGCAGAGUGGGGAUGAGGAUGUGUAUGGGGUUCCUGGAACUGACCAUGUUGUCCUUGCCACCGCUCCAUGUGCUGCUCAGGAACCCAGUGUCGACUGGAGCUGUCUGCCCAAGUCUCUGCCCUACCCUGCUUUUCUUGGGAACCUUCCCAAAGAUCUGAUCAAAGAUUUGGUUAAGAACUUCUUUAGAGGAUUAAAUAUCAGGGUGGUGCAUUUACCAUGUGACCCCUGCAAUCCAAAAAGGUAGAAAGGUUUUGGUUCUGUUCAGUUUGGGAACUUGGAUUCCCUGCUCUGUGCCCUGAGUCUCAAUAAACUGUGUCUAGGCAAAAGAAUAGUUCGAGUUGGAUUAGCUGAUCAAGCAUAGCAAGACAGCACAUAGGAGCCUGACAAAACAGACACAGACUGGAGGGCCCGACCUGCCACAGACAGCUUUGAUGAUGACAGCCCACCCAGAAGCAGUGAUGAUGGCUUUGGAUGCAAGUAUCAAGACUGUUAUGAUUCAGAUAGUGGUGGGUAUCAGAAUGGCCUAUCCUGGCCUAUGAAUCCAUAUAGGAGCCGGGAUCAUUAGGGCCACCAAGGCAGCAGAGACUCUGAUAGAGACUGUGAUUCCAGAAUAGGCAAUGGCAGAAGAGCCCUCCAUAGUGAGUGCCAUAGAGAUAAUUACUACAAAGGAGGUGGAGACCAUGGUGAUGACCCAUAUGCUGACAGCUCAUGGGGCUCCAGAGAUGAUUACUAAGACAAUUCUUGGUGCAAUUGUAGAGGUCUGCCCCACAGACCCAGACUGAAUCUGAAACCUGGGAGUACUCCUAAGGAAAACGAUUCUUCCACCACCCCCUUCCAGCCCAGUCGAGCACCUUCCAUCUUUAGAGGGGUAAAGCCUGUUGACACAGCUGCUAGGGAAAGAGAAGUGGAGGAAUGGAUGCAGAAGGAGCAGGAGAGAUCUUCGUGGGGGCCAGAUAAUCCAAAACUAGAAUGGCGGUCAGGCUGGCAAAGGGAAGAAACUCAGGUAUAGGAAGGAAAAGUGAAUCACUGAAGACUGGAACCUCAGGCCCACCUGGCAAAAAUGCAUAAAGAAGAAAAAGAAGUCUCUAGAAAAUCAAAUACUCGGUAAGGUGGAAGAUUGUCACUCUUCAAUUUCUAAGCUUCCCCAAAGGUGAUCAGCUUCUAAAGGUAAUGCCAGCCACCCCACCAAAGGAGAAUGGGUGGUAAAGCACCAUCCUGCUCCAUCUCAGAGCUCUGGCACAGAGCAGAAAUCUCCUAGAGAUGGUAGUGGCUUGGAAGGUAGCUCCAACUCAGCCACCUGAAGAAAGACCAAUAAGGAAAAUUGCAAAUAAAAUGGAUGGGGUGUGUAUCCAAAAAGGCUAACCUGAGAACUCCUGUCAUAAUUCAGGAGACAGAGAAAAAAAAAAUCACUAGAAGGAGGUAGAUAGGAAGGAGGGCAAAGAGAAUCAAGACUCCAGCUCUGCACUUGUGCAAAGGAAAACAGGAAAAUCCAGCCUCCAAGUUCAGUUCUGCAAGCAGGUAAGCUGCUCUCUCCAUGAGUGGUGAAGAUGGAAACGAG